ACUAGAAACAGGUGAAAUAAAUAUCGGAGAUGCUUUGCCCUAUGCUGAGACUGGGGUGGGGGUUACUCAGAGGUUUUGCCAGCUCUUCUAAAUCCAUUGCAAUGUUGGAAACACUUCCAUUAUCGUCUGCAGGUCACAAGUGUUUUGCCUCUUAGCCUCUUCACUUCACCUGAGUGAGGCAAUGACAGCUGAGCUUCUAUUCAUAUACGGAAGGGUUCCACUUGCGGUCCUUUAUCAACCGUAGUCAGCUUGAGUUAGUUUUAAAUGCCGAGCCCAUUUCCUUGAUGGCUUUCUUCAGUUGCCUGAAUUAUAUUUUAAAAUGUUGGAAUAAGAUUUUGGUUUUGUCUUUUAUUCACAAGAUCUGAGAUUUAUAAGAGAGAAUGAAAACAGGGAAGAGAAGUGUGAACUAUAUGAAGCUAAAUAACGUUUAUAUAUUUCUUGAGAGUAUCAGAAGUUUAAAAUGAAUAAAGAAGUAUUCGGUGAAAAUCAAAGACGGAACAAAGAACAAGGAUUCGGCCAGAGGACAAAAAUAUAAAACCGGAAUAAGAGGUGACAGACUGUUUGCAGCUAAUUUAUCUCUGAGCUUAUACCGACCGACAGGUACGAGGCCCGAAAUUUUGGGGGAGGGGGCCAGUCGAUUAGCCGGACGUCAGUACGCAACUUCUAUUUAAUUCAUCGAUCUCGAAAGGCAAUGUCGACCUCGGCGGGAUUUGAACUCAGAACGUAAAGACAGACGAAGUAUCGCCAAGCAUUUCGCCCGGCCUGCUAACGUUUCUGCCAGCUCCUUGCUGCCUUACAAAGCAAGAUAAAUUGCAUAAACUAUUCUUGAUUGAAUCGCUACAUAUCUUUAUUUUCAUCUUCGAUAAAGAAUUGUCAAUAAAUUUGUUCCAAUAUUAA